rnacentral:lncRNA from 1 species
GGAGUAUUUUAAUAAAAUUUUAACAAAACAUGUGUUCGUUAUUUUUUCGUUUUACAAAAGCGCUAGACUAUAUUGCUGAGCCCGUUUCUACAACAUAACCGCUGACUAAGCGCUAGACUAUCUCGCUGACUAAGUUCCAGUCUUUAAAGCUGUUUCUUAAUUGUUUUGUCACACGGCUACACUCUCCCCUCCUUCUUGAAUGUCGUCUCUGACAUUUUAGAUCCGUAUCUUCUUAACACAACUGUUCCAAGUUAU